rnacentral:rRNA from 1 species
AUUGAACGCUGGCGGCAGGCCUAACACAUGCAAGUCGAACGAGUGGCGGACGGGUGAGUAAUGUAUGGGAAACUGCCUGAUGGAGGGGGAUAACUACUGGAAACGGUAGCUAAUACCGCAUACCAUCGGAUGUGCCCAGAUGGGAUUAGCUAGUAGGUGGGUGAAAGGCUCACCUAGGCGACGCUCCCUAGCUGGUCUGAGAGGAUGACCAGCCACACGGGAACUGAGACACGGUCCAGACUCCUACGGGAGGCAGCAGUGGGGAAUAUUGCACAAUGGGCGCAAGCCUGAUGCAGCCAUGCCGCGUGUAUGAAGAAGGCCUUCGGGUUGUAAAGUACUUUCAGCGGGGAGGCGUUACCCACAGAAGAAGCACCGGCUAACUCCGUGCCAGCAGCCGCGGUAAUAC